rnacentral:misc_RNA from 1 species
GAUGAAGAACGCAGCGAAAUGCGAUAAGUAAUGUGAAUUGCAGAAUUCAGUGAAUCAUCGAAUCUUUGAACGCACAUUGCGCCCGCCAGUAUUCUGGCGGGCAUGCCUGUUCGAGCGUCAUUUCAACCCUCAGGCCCCCGGGCCUGGCGUUGGGGAUCGGCGGAAGCCCCCUGUGGGCACACGCCGUCCCUCAAAUACAGUGGCGGUCCCGCCGCAGCUUCCAUUGCGUAGUAGCUAACACCUCGCAACUGGAGAGCGGCGCGGCCAUGCCGUAAAACACCCAACUUCUGAAUGUUGACCUCGAAUCAGGUAGGAAUACCCGCUGAACUUAAGCAUAUCAAUAAGCGGAGGA